rnacentral:rRNA from 1 species
ACGGGAGGCAGCAGUGAGGAAUAUUGGUCAAUGGACGGAAGUCUGAACCAGCCAAGUCGCGUGCGGGAUGAAGGCCCUACGGGUCGUAAACCGCUUUUGUACGGGGAUAAAGUCACCCACGUGUGGGUGUUUGUAGGUACCGUAAGAAUAAGGAUCGGCUAACUCCGUGCCAGCAGCCGCGGUAAUACGGAGGAUCCGAGCGUUAUCCGGAUUUAUUGGGUUUAAAGGGAGCGUAGGCGGCCGGUUAAGUCUGCGGUCAAAUGUCAGGGCCCAACCUUGGCAUGCCGUGGAUACUGUCCGGCUUGAGUGCACACAAGGAAGGUGGAAUUCGUCGUGUAGCGGUGAAAUGCUUAGAUAUGACGAAGAACUCCGAUUGCGAAGGCAGCCUUCUGGGGUGUUACUGACGCUGAGGCUCGAAAGUGCGGGAAUCAAACAGGAUUAGAUACCCUGGUA